CCGGGGCCGCGCCGGCUCCGGAAGCGCAGAGCCGCUGGUUGGGGCACCCCUGACAUGAGGCCCCUUGGCCCGCCUGGGCGCUGCCGGUCCCGGGACAGCCUGCGCGGGGACAAGGUCACAGUCAGAGUGGUUUGUGUCCCUUCAUUCCCCCCAUCUGUGACCCCUCGGAGUGCUCACCCUGAGGCACCUCCUCCAUUCCUGCUGUCUUGGACGUCUCCGCGGAUCACGGGAAUUCGCCCUGACGUAUUUCCGCCCCCUGGCGCCCAAUCUGACGCUCCAGCCACGCGAAAUAAGUCUCAGAAAGAGGGAUGGACGCAUGCGCAGAUCGUGUUCGAGCCGCUGGGCGUCGUAAGCUAUGGAGAUCUUUCAGAAAUUCUUCAGCUUGUAUCUCCUGGGAUCAAAGGCAUCAUCCUACGUGAUCUCAAUGCCAUUUCAUACCCAAGAAAUACUGAUGCCAAAUUGUCUCCCCCAGCCACCGCCUUCUGUCCUGAUUUUCGGCCAUCGAGAAGAAAAUUCCCAUGGACCCUUGCUCUUCUCUGACAGGGACCUUUGAUUUGAGGGUCAGUUUCCUUCCCAUUUCAGAAGCGGAGGAGGCCCCCACAAAUCAAGCUCCCCUCCUGUGCUGUACCUUGGGCUCGCACUCCACUCCCACCAGCUGAGGAAGGGGCAAGUUUCUUGAUGGAUCAAAAUAUUGAUAUGGAAUAGAGGACUGAAGCCUCUUUCUGGUGCAAUAAAGCUCUUGAUUCUAGGUGCCUA